GGGGGGUAGGCUUAUACACGGAUUGGCUUAUAUUCGAGUAUAUACAGUAAUUAUGUUAAAAUAUUUUCCAAAAAGGAUUUGCAUGUACUUUAUUUUCCACAUCUAGUACGAUAAUAGAUAUACUGGAAUUAGGUAUACAGUCUAUUAAUAAAGAAAUAUUAAGAUGGAAAUACAUAGCAGAAAGCAGACAAUGGAAAAGUAAAAGUGUAAUGAGUUUAGAAAAAAAGGAUAGACUAAAAUUGCGGAGUACAACUCACUGAUUGGUUAAUCCCCAAGAAAUUAAUGAUUAAUGAAUAUUUCAUUCAUACUUCUGUUUCCAUUCUUGUUUUCCUAUACCCAAUCCAGCUGUAAUUCCAGGUUUGACAGUCUGACUUUUCUUUUCUUUGAACAUUGAAAAUCAAGAUUAUAAUUUCAUCGUAUUGGUGAUCAGCUAAUGAUGGUGUAGUCUGAUGGAAAUGCUGCACCCUUAGAAAUCCCCAUGGAGACAGCCUCUCCACCAGACAUAGACAACAACUUCAUCAGGUUCUUCAUGUUAUUAUAUGCAAAAUUGAAGUACCAACCACCCAGAAAGAUCACUAGAGCAUGCAGUCCCCUUGCUAGACAUAAAAGCAUUAACUUAUUUCAUUAUACUGCAAUAAUCCAAAGAUCACUAAACCCAAUAAAAAGCACUGUCUGCAGUCUGGUGGUCGGAAUCGGUUUUUAGUUGGUCAAACAAACGUUUUCAAUACUAGAGUAAACCUGAAGAGG
rnacentral:lncRNA from 1 species